UACGUAGGCAGCGAGCGUUGUUCGGAAUUACUGGGCGUAAAGAGUGUGUAGGCGGUGCUCCCAGUCUGUUGUGAAAUCUCCCGGCUUAACUGGGAGGGUGCAGCGGAAACUAGAGUGCUAGAGGGUGGGAGAGGUAAGCGGAAUUCCUGGUGUAGCGGUGAAAUGCGUAGAUAUCAGGAGGAACACCUGCGGUGUAGACGGCUUUCUGGACCAUUGUUGACGCUGAGACACGAAAGCGUGGGUAGCAAACAGG
rnacentral:rRNA from 1 species